CCCUGUUUGCUCAUGAUGAGAAGAUUCACUACUAUUUAUAUUCUCAAAUUAUUUCUGUUCUCAUUAAAGGGUGAUGCUAAGAUAUGGUACAAUACUCUUGCUCAUGUUUGUGUGUGUAGUCCCCUGGAUAUGAUUUAUUACUUCUCUGAAAAAUAUUUUCUUGCUCAUAAGAAACAAACUGCCUUACAGGAAAUAUUUAAUUUUGUGCAAAUUGAAGAAGAGAGUCUCCCACAAGCUUGGGGGAGGCUUCUUCAAUUGCUUAAUGCUUUGCCUGAUCAUCCUCUUAAGAAAAAUGAAAUACUUGAUAUCUUCUAUAAUGGACUAACUAAUACCUAC
rnacentral:rRNA from 1 species